UGCCAGCCGCCGCGGUAAUACGGAGGGGGUUAGCGUUGUUCGGAAUUACUGGGCGUAAAGCGUACGUAGGCGGAUUAAUAAGUUAGAGGUGAAAUCCCAGGGCUCAACUCUGGAACUGCCAUCAAAACUGACUUACUUGAGAUUGGUAGAGGAAAAUGGAAUUCCUAGUGUAGAGGUGAAAUUCGUAGAUAUUGGGAAGAACAUCGGUGGCGAAGGCGAUUUUCUGGGCCAAAUCUGACGCUGAGGUUCGAAAGCGUGGGUAGCAAACAGGAUUAGAUA
rnacentral:rRNA from 1 species